rnacentral:lncRNA from 1 species
GCCCUCGGGCACGUAUCUUCUUAAGUAUGACCCUGACCUGCCUCGCUACAUUAACCCUUUAGGAAGGAGACAGAGGCCAUCUCUCCUAGAGGAGACUAUGAAGCCACAGCAGACCAAAGAGCGAGAUGGUAGCAGAAGGUUCCUGGAAAGGACGGUGAACUGGAGCCUAGGACGCCUCUCUGGGUGAAGCAAGAACACUCUUGUGAAAUGGAAUUGGAGCCGAGCCCUUCCCCGCUGUGCACGCACCAGACCCCGGGUUUGCAAGGAUGGAUGGGAAUGGGCGGUCCUACACGCCGCCAUCAGGAAGAGGGCUCUGCGGAAUGCUUAGGAGGCCCUUCCACCAGAGCUGCUCCAGGGCCGGGACUUCGAGACUUCCACUUCACCACCGCAGGACCAUCCAAAGCAGAUAGACUGGGAGACGCAGCGCAGAUACACAGAGAAAGGAUGAGACCGGUGCAGUGUGGUGAUGGUAGUGGUGAGAGAGUCUUUCUACAGAGCCCUGGCUCUAUUGGAACUCUAUAUAUCAGGCUGGACUUGAACUCACAAAGAUCCACCUGCUGCUGCCUCCUAAAUGCUGGGACUAAAGGCAUGUGCUAGCAUGCAUAGCCUAAUGUAACUCCCCCGCCUUCUACCUUCACUAGCAAGGACAAUACAGAG